CAACCUCAACUCAUGUGAGACUACUCCCUGAAUUUAAGCAUAUUAAUGAGGGAAGGAAAAGAAACUAACAAGGAUUUCCUUAGUAGCGGCGAGCGAAAAGGAAAAAGUCCAGCACUAAGGGAUUUUGUUUUUAACAAAUAUCCGAUGCAGUGUAAGGAGUGUCUAUUAUCUAGUAUGACAAAUUAACCGUUUAAGUCCUUCUUAAACGAGGCCAUUUACCCAUAGAGGGUGCUAGGCCCGUGUAGCGUUAAUGAUUACUAGAAGAUAUUUCCAUAGAGUCGUGUUGCUUGAUAGUGCAGCACUAAGUGGGUGGUAAACUCCAUCUAAGACUAAAUAUAACCAUGAGACCGAUAGCAAACAAGUACCGUGAGGGAAAGUUGAAAAGAACUCUGAAUAGAGAGUUAAAUAGUACGUGAAACUGCUUAGAGGUUAAACCCGAUGAACCUGAAUAUCCGUUGUGGAAAAUUCAUCAUCAAUUGUAUAAUAUUUUUUUUUAAAUAUUAUAUGAAUGGUGUGCACUUUUUCCACUUAAGGACAUUGUAAUCUAUUAAUGUUUAAAUGCGUAUUAUAAGAACAUUGACAAUAGUUUAUGUGUUAUUUAAUUUAUUAAAUUCAUAUAAAUGUUAUGCUUCGAAUAUGCCAUUGAUAGAUUUUCCAUAUAUUGUACUUAAAUCUUUUGAUUUUAUAAUAAUAUAAUUAUCAUUGAUUGUUGUAUUUAUUAUAUGUACAUAUAUGAUUGACAAUGCGAAAGAUUCAGGAUACCUUCGGGACCCGUCUUGAAACACGGACCAAGGAGUCUAACAUAUGUGCAAGUCAUUGGGUUUUUAAACCUAAAGGCGAAAUUAACUUAACUGUUAAUGGGAUCAGUAUGUAUUUUUUAUAAAUAUAUAUUCAAUCCCGGGGCGUUCUAUAUAGUUAUGUAUAAUGGUAUUUAUAUUAUUUAUACCUCUAACUGGAACGCACCUUGAGCAUAUAUGCUGUGACCCGAAAGAUGGUGAACUAUACUUGAUCAGGUUGAAGUCAGGGGAAACCCUGAUGGAAGACCGAAACAGUUCUGACGUGCAAAUCGAUUGUCAGAAUUGAGUAUAGGGGCGAAAGACCAAUCGAACCAUCUAGUAGCUGGUUCCCUCCGAAGUUUCCCUCAGGAUAGCUGGUGCAUUUAAAUAUUAUGUAAAAUAAUCUUAUCUGGUAAAGCGAAUGAUUAGAGGCCUUAGGGUCGAAACGAUCUUAACCUAUUCUCAAACUUUAAAUGGGUAAGAACCUCACCUAUCUUGAUAUGUAGGUGGGGUUGUGAUAUAUUGUGCCCAGUGGGCCACUUUUGGUAAGCAGAACUGGCGCUGUGGGAUGAACCAAACGCAAUGUUACGGUGCCAAAAUUUACAACUCAUGCAGAUACCAUGAAAGGCGUUGCUUGCUUAAAACAGCAGGACGGUGGACAUGGAAGUCGUAAUCCGCUAAGGAGUGUGUAACAACUCACCUGCCGAAGCAACUAGCCCUUAAAAUGGAUGGCGCUUAAGUUGUAUACCUAUACAUUGCCGCUAAUGUAAAUGGUUUAUAUAGAAUUUUCGGAUUUUAUAUAAAUUUUGAUACAUUAGUGAGUAGGAGGGUACAAUGGUGUGCGUUGAAGUGUUUGGCGUGAGCCUGCA
rnacentral:ncRNA from 1 species